rnacentral:lncRNA from 1 species
ACAAAAUAUAUAAAUCUUCAUAACAGCAACUAGUCCGUUAAUUGAUUCUGGAUCUUCUAUACUUGGAUUACUUUUCCAAUAAUUUGCAACAUCUAACAAACACAGAUGAGUUUAUGUCACUAUGCAUCAAUAGCAUCAGUGUAGGAAUAAGCUGCACUACCAAGCUCCAUUGGUGGAAGAUCUGCAUCUGCAAAUCAAGAUCUAAAAUCUCCAACCAAAUAAAAUUAAAUAUCAUAUUAUUUUAUUUAGUAAUAAACCCUAAAAAAAAGGGACCACCUCACAAAGAAGGGACAAAAAACCCUUCAAAUAUGGAGACAAAAUAACAAUAACAAAACCGAAAAAAGGACAUAUCUAAGUUUAUUAGAGUGAAUAAAAGAUUAAAAGUAGAAUAAGGUGAAGCGAAAAAGAAAGUAGAAGAUAGGGGAGCGGAAAGGAAAGUAGAAGAUAGGGGCUACCGCUGAUAAACAGCCCCAAAACAAAACUACAGUUAAAAGGCUAGAGACAAAAGAGAGAAAAAAGCAGUUAUUUUUUAUAAUACAAAGUCUUUUAUUGUCUUGAUAAACUUCUAUUUUAUUUUUUAGCCAAUUAAAAUCAUAACAUCAGUAAUAAAAUUCUUAACAUAAUUAAAUCAAGACCGAACAUUGUUAAAAUUAAUCACGUCCUUUUUUGUCUAUUUAAAUUAAUGAAGCAACAGGCCUGAUAAACAACCACUAAUAUGCAACAAUUUAGUAAAAAAAACUUACAAAUGUGUUGCAGUGUCGAAAACUCAGACUCACAGAAAGCAUGCCGAUUAACAAUACUAAUACAAUCUCUAAUACAAUUAAAAAUCUCUAAUACGAUUAAUUAAUAAAGAAGAAAGUGGAGUUGCAUCAACUAAAAAAUAUAUAGUUAUGUCUAAUAUGAUUUACAAUUAUAAUUAUAGUGAAUAUCUACCUUGAGAAAGAUGCAUUUUCAUAGGAAACUGCAUAUAUCAACUCGGGGUUACUAUGCAGUUGAUAGAUAACCCUGUGUCCGCGAAUCCUCUAAUAGGUCAUUUUUUGCGCAAGAGCCAGCUUUUGGUUAAAUCGCACCAGAUGCUAGAGAGAGUCCAAGACAUGGAGAAGAUUAUUUUAGCAUGACAAAGAUUAAACCUUUGCUUGUAUGCAUCUGGCAAGAUCAAAAGUAGCAGAUGAUAUUUUAUGAAUUUAUGUGCUCAACACAAAUAUCUGCUGAAAUUAUAAAAUAUACAUAUGAACCAAUCUCUAUCAAACUAAACAAAAUGAAUCGGAUAACUAUCCAUACUACAAUACUCAAAAAAACAUCCCUACUACAGAUAAUACCUUCUCUACUGUGAUAAUAAAAUUUUUUCAAAAAAAAAAAAAAAAGAAUCAAAUAACAAAUAAUUACACCUACUACAAAUAAAUACAUUCUCUACCUAACACAUUUAUUGACGAUGGAGUUGCAAUCUGUUUUUCAUAAUCUCUACAUAAUUAUAAUCUCUACAUAAUCGCUGAAUUUUAGGUAGAAUUCAUAAUUCAAAUAAUAAUUUGUUACUGUACAUAAUCUAAGCUAUAUAGUGAUUUUAGAAAAUAUUAAUAUCAAUAGAAUCACUAAAAGGAUAAAAAAAAUUAAAAAAUUUGUAAAAAAAAAAAAAAGAAUAUUGAAUGGAAAGAGCGCGUUGAACUUAUU